GUCUACAGCCAUGCCACUCUGAACAAGCCUGUCGUCUGAUCUCCAAAGCUAAGCAGGGUUGGGCCUGGUUAGUACUUGGCUGGGAGACCACCUUGGAAGACCAGGUGCUGUAGGCA
rnacentral:rRNA from 1 species